UGAGAGGUAUUUUUUUUUCCUCACUGAGACCAUUCACUCCCAGUUGCUUAGUGAAAUCGCAAUACCAUGCAUAAGAAAGAAAGCAUCGAAAUACAGAUGAUUUGUUUUUAGUCAUAAGCCAUCAGCGCUUAUAUCUAUAGCACUCACCACAUAUUUAACCAUGUAUUAUUAAUUCUUUAUGUUCACUGAGGGGGAUAUCUGUCUUAAAACUCCUUUGCAUUUCAUUAGAGUUUACAGUACAUAAUAGAUCCUCAAUACAUAUAGGUUGAUUUGUACAGCUGGGAAAGAUCAGAUAGGUUGAAGUUCAUUGAUAAUCCCGGUUGGAAAAAUUUGAGAUCUGUUCACUGCUCAUGGAUGGGUUAAUGAACAGUUUAUAAGUGACGUAUCUUGUGGAUAACAUAAGAAUAUGUAACAAAAAAACCAAUUUCUGAAAAGUGAGAAGUUAUUUAUGCAAUGAGAAAUUUACAAAAGAAUAGUGAUAUAUUUCAAAGGUUAUCUUUAUAAGAUUUGCACUUAUAAGCAUUUUUCCAAAGUUAAAUAAAUACGUGUUACAAACCUUUUUUUUUUGUUGGAACCAACUAAACAUAGUCUUUAACUAUAAUCUUUAUUGCAAUCUGCAUACAUAUAUACUCUCCAGAGAGCUUUGAUUAUCAAUUUCCUUUUAUUGAUGAAGAUAAGCAGGUGUUGCCUCCCUUGUAGACCACAACUUAUAUAUGCAUCUGUCAGUAACACUCUAUUCUUCUUCGGUGUGCCUCAUCUUGGAAAGUACUCAUGAUUUCCUUUGCUUUGUUUCUGGAUGUAAAUCUUUUUAUCAGGGAUUAGGGUUAUCUUGAAAUUUUAAGAAACAAGUGAAAACUCAUAUGGCAGAGAUUUUUUAAAGAAAAUAUUUAUCACCAUUUUUGGAGUGAUAAGCAGCUAUUCUGUCUUCACUCAGGACAAAGCAAUUGUCAAUAUGCUUAUAUUGCUGAAGAGUGUACUUAGAAUAGACCUAAGGAAGAGCGUCUCUACAGUGUGUGUUGUUGGGUCCUUAGAUAAGUGACAUAGGUGAUUGGCCUUGGAAUAAAUUAAAAAAAAUAAUUCCAGUAUAGUUAACAUACAGUGUUAUAUUAGUUUCAGGUGUACAGUAUAAUGAUCCAACAGUUCCAUAUAUUACUGAAUGCUCAUCAUGAUAAGUGUACUGUUAAUCCCCUUCACAUAUUUUACUCAUCCCCCCCCCCCAACUCCCCUCUGGUAACCAUUUGUAUGUUCUUUAUAGUUAAAGGUCUGUUUCGUUUGUUGGUUUGGUUUGUCUCUCUUUUUCCUUUGUUCGCUGUUUUCUUUCUUAAAUUCCACAUUUGGGUGAAAUCCUAUAGUAUUGUCUUUCUCUGACUUGCUUAUUUCACUUAGCAUUAUACUGUCUAUAUCCAUCCAUGUUGUUGUAAAUGGCAAGAUUUCAUUCUUUUUUAUGGCUGAAUAAUAUUCCAGUGUGUGUGUGUUUGUGUGUGUGUGUGUGUGUGUGUGUGUGUGUGUGUGUACUACUUUUUCCUUUAUCCAUUCAUCUAUCUAUGGACACUUGGGCUACUUCUAUAAUUUGGCUAUUGUAAAUAAUGUUGCAAUAAACAUAGGGGUGCAUGUAUCCCUUUGAAUUAGUGUUUUUGUAUUCUUUGGAUAAAUACCCAGUAGUGCAAUUACUAUUACUACUACUGUAGGGUAGUUCUGUGUUUAAUUUUUUUGAGGAACCUCUAUACUGUCUUCCACAGUGGCUGCACCAGUUUGCAUUCUUACCAACAUUGCAUGAGGGUUUCUUAUUCUCCACAGCCUCACCAACACUUGCUGAUCCUUGAGUUUUUGAUUUGAACCAAUGUGACAAGUGUAAGGUGAUAUCUCAUUUGGUUUUGAUUUGCCUUUCUCUGAUGACUGAAGUUGAGCAUCUUUUCAUGUGUCUACUGGCCAUCUGUAGGUCUUCUUUGGAGAAAUGUCUAUUCAUGUCUUCUGCCCAUUUUAUUAUUAUCAUUAUUAUUAUUUUGGUGUUGAGUUGUGUUAAGUUUUUUAUGGCUUCAGACAAAAGUUUUUAUUAAUAAGUCUUGGCUGCCCUACUUAAUAAGAUCUGAAUUAUCAUAAACAAAUGUACAUUUCUCAUAGUUUAGAAAUAAAUUUUUUUCACCACAAAGUCCUUUUAAAGACCUAUGUUCUUUCCAGAGCUCAUGAUAAUCAAGGACAUAGAAUAUAUUUCACUGAAGACUAUGAGUACCACCAUGGAAAGAGUAUAUACCUUAUAUAUACCUUAAGUAUAUAUAAAUAUACCUUGAAGAUAUUACAGGUUCAUACCACUGCAAUAAAGAAAAUAGUGCAAUAAAGGGAAUCAUAUUAAUUUUUUGGUUCCCCAAUACAUAUAUAGUUUAAACUAUACUGUAGUAUAUUAAGUGUAUAGUAGCAUUAUGUCUAAAAAAACAAUAUACAUGUCUUAAUUAAAAACAUUGCUAAGAAAUGCUAGUCAUCAUUUGAGAGUUCAGUGAGUCAUAAUCUUUUUUGUUGGUGGAGAAUCGUGUUUUGAUGUUGAUGGCUGCUGAUUGAUCAGGACGGUUGUUGCUAAAGGCUGGGAUCGCUGUGGCAAUUUCUUAAAAUAAGACAAAUGAAGUUUGCUGCAUUGAUUGACUCUUCCUUUCAUGAAUGAUUUCUCUGUAGCACACAAUGCUUUUUGAUAGCAUUAUACCCAUGGUAGAACCACUUUCAAAAUUGGAGCCAAUCCUCUCAAACCUUACUGCUGCUUUAUCAACCAACUUGAUGCAGUACUCUAAAUCCUUUGUUGUCAUUCCAACAGUCUUGAUAGCAUCUUCAUCAGGAGUACAUUCCAUCUCAAGAAACCAUUUUCUUUGCUCAUAUGUAAGAAGCCACUCCUCAUGUGUUCACAUUUUCUUAUGAGAUUGCAGCAAUUCAGUCACAUCUUCAGGCAUCACUUCUAAUUCUAGUUCUUCUGCUGUUUCCACCAUAUCAACAGCGACCCUCUACUGAAGUCCUGACCCCCUCACAGUCAUCCACGAGGGCUAGAACCAACUUCUUCUAAACUUCUGUGAAUGUUGAUGUUUUGACCUCUUCCCAUGAAUUAUGAAUGUUCUUAAUGGCAUCUAGAAUGGUGAAAUCUUUUCAGAUGGUUUUCAAUGUACUUUGCCCAGAUUCAUCAGAGGAAUCACUGUCUAUUGCAACUAGACUAUUAUGAAAUUUAUUUCUUAAAAUAAUAAGACUUGAAAGCUGAACCUACUCCUUGAUCUGUAGGCUUUAGAAUGGAUGUUGUGUUAACAGACAUGAAAACUAUAUGAAUUUUGUUGUACAUCUCCAUCAGAGCUCAUGGGUAAGCAAGUGCAUUGUGAGCAGUAUUUUGAAAGUAAUCUUUUUUUCUUCCUGAGCAGUAGCUCUCAGCAAAAGGCUGAAAAUAUUCAGUAAACCACGUGGUAAACAGAUGGUGUGAUCAUCCAGGCUUUGUUGUUCCAUUUAUAGAACACCGGCAGAAUAGAUUUAUUCUUAAGGGCCCUAGGAUUUCAGGAUGGUAAAUGAGCAUUGACUUCAAUUUAGAGUCAUCAGCUGCAGUAGCCUCUAAUGAGAGAAUCAGUCUGUCUUUGGAAGCUUUGAAGCCAGGCACUGACUUGUCCUUUCUAGCUAUGAAAGUCCUAAAUAACAUCUUCUUUCAAUUUAAAGCUGUUUAAUCCCCAUUGGAAACCUGUGGUUUAGUGUAGCCACCUUCAUCAAUUAUCUCAGCUAGAUCUUCUGGAUAACUUGCUGCCACUCCUACAUCAGCACUUGCUACUUCACUUUGCACUUUUGUGUUAUGGGGAUGGCUUCAUUCCUUAAAUCUCAGGAACCAACCUCCGCUAGCUUCAAACUUUUCUUCUGCAGCUCCCCCACCUCUCUCAGUCUUCAUGAAACUGCAUAGAGACUUUCUCUUGGUUAGACUUUGACUGAAGAGAAUGUUUUUGCUGGUUUGAUCUUCUAAACAGACCGUUAAAACUUUUUCCAUAUCAGCAAUAUGGCUGUUUUGAUUUCUUAUCACUGGUGUAGUCAUUAAAGGUGCAUUUUUAAUUUCCUUCAAGAACUUCCCCUUUGCAUUCACAAGUUGGCUCACUGUUUCUGUGCAAGAGGCCUAGCUGUCAGCCUGUCUCCUCUUUCCACCUCCCUUCCUCACUUCUUUCCACAUUCCUUCCUUCAUCAUUUCAAGCUUUUGAUUUAAAUUGGGAGAAUAGCUACUGUUCCUUUCACUUGAACACUUAGAGGCUAUUGCAGGGCUAUCAUUGGCCUAAUUUUAAUACUGUUGUGUUUCAGGGGAACAGGGAGACCUGAAGAGGAGGUGACAGAGAGACAGGGAACAGCUGGUUGGUGGAGCAGUCAUCACACACACAACAUUUAUUAAGUUUACCAUCUUAUAUGGGCACAGUUCGUGGCUCCACAAAACAAUUACAGUAGUAACAACAAAGAACACUGAUCACAGAUGACCAUAAGAAAUAUAAUAAUAGUGAAAAAGUUUGAAACAUUGCGAGAAUUACUAAAAUGUGAUGGAGACAUGAAGUGAGCAAAUGCUGUUGAAAAAAUGGCGCCUAUAGACUUGCUCCGUGCGGUGUUGUCACAAACUUUCAGUUUGUAAAAAACACAGUAUGGCACAAAAAACCACAAACUGCAAUAAAGGAAGUACAAUAAAGCAGGUACACCUGCAGUUUUGAAGUGAAAAAAAGCAAGAUGCCCUCACAGAAUAUAUUUGGCUGUCUUCAAAAGGAGAAGUCAGGUUUAAAUAACAGGAGUUCAUACCCUUGUUAGACCUUUUUAAUUCUGAAUGAAGUGCACAUGUGACCUUUUCUGAAAUAAAUAAAAAUAAUGCAUUGUCAAACAAACUGAAACAAAAC